GAGCUGAGUGAACUGAAGAAAACACUUAUUAACGUUGAAGUGGAGCAACUCCGUACAGAAUUUCAAGAACUGAGGAACACUCUACAUCAGCAACAUGAAGAUGUUACUGCUAGCUUAAGAAACUUAGGGCUGCAGGAUGUGUAAGAGGGUUUGAAAGAGGCCGAAGAUCCUAAGGUUGAAGGAAAGGAUGAGGAAAUGCAUACUUCAUCCAUAAAGGAAAAUGGCAAGGAAGGAACAAUAGAUGGGUUUUAUCAUGGAGUAUGCACUCUUGCACUUGUACUUUUCACUGUGUUGUGAACUAAUAUCAUGUUUCUUAGGUUAAAAUUCCAAGUCUAUCCUGUUUUCUAGCUGAAGAAACACCUUUCAUAUGAAUCCA